GGUGGACGGUGUGCAUGGUCUUAAUCUGUGUUACGUGCUGUUGCCUGACUGUGUUUUGCAGACCGGGCAGCAGUGCUCACUCCACACCUGCAGCCAUAGAGCAACAGGAGAUCAUAGUACUGGUCUUUGACGUCUUUGUUGACCUCUUACCAUUGGCCAGCCUCCAAACUCUCCUACAUGC